AUGCUCUUUCCCUCAGGCCAGCUGGCUGUGACUGCAGGGAUAUGGAUGUCCUCUAAGAGUGGAUACCAUGCUGCUUCACUCCCUCUCUUUCUUUAUCUUCUUCAGUUUUUAAGCACUGGAGCAUCUUGGCCAAAUGACUGCAAGACAGACAGGAAACUUGCUGACACAAAAACUGAAGCAGUGGGACUAGAUGGGUUUUUCACUGCAGAAAUCAACAUUGAUUACGGACACAGAAACUAAGGCUUAAAGGUUUAAAAACUUUUUGAUAUGUUUGUUUACAAACACAUUAAUUGAUGUUAAUUGAUGGACUGGAGUCGUGUGGAUUACUUGUGGAUUAUUGUGAUGUUCUUAUCAGCUGUUUGGACUCUCAUUCUGACGGCACCCAUUGCACCAUUGGUGACCCAGAUAGCAUGGUGACUUCGAUACAAUAAUGAGUUUUGAUUCAAACCAUCAUUUUAGUUGAGAUUGACAUUUCAGUGGUGAACAUUCCUAUGCUGAAGUCUUGUUUGUUGAACCACCUGACAAUUUCAUGCAUAUCUUUUUAUUUCUUAGUUCCUUUGUUUUGCAUGCUUGUUAUUUGCAUUUGAUUUAUUGUUACUGAAACUAAUAAUAUACAUUAAUUAAAAAUUUUAUGAGUGUUUGAAUAAACCAUCCAUUUUUCUAAAUUCUUAAAAAAAAAGUGUAUGCAACUUGCUUUAGUAAUAUUUAUUAGGAAUUUUAUGAAUAAAGUUCCAACAACAUUUAACAGAUUUCUUGAAGUGCAAAUGACAUGAAGGUGAGCAAGAAUAUCAGACUUUACACACAGCCCACGUAUUGCAUCUAAUACUCAAUGUUUGCACAGAACAUUACCAUUUUUCCUGUAGUAGAGCUGAAGGCAGAUGAGGAUGGGACUAUUAAAAAAAUGAGAAGCGCGUUGCUGAUAAUGGUGAUACUGACUAUACAUUAGCCCCUUUCACACAACAAUACCUUUACAGAUAAAUACACAAAUAUGCUGAUCACACAAGCAACGGCAUUCUGGCUUUUUACCAGUAAAAGACCAUUCACAGAUCAGAAUCAAAAUACCGGUAAAUCCUGUGAUGUCUGUAAAUGGUAGGGCUUGCAUAGACUAGUCGAGGUUUCAUGUCUUUUCAUUUACAGUAGCAUGAACCACGAGUAGUUGAGUAACUCGAGUAUUUUUUAAAUAAGAAAUCGUCUAGCAGA
rnacentral:lncRNA from 12 species